rnacentral:rRNA from 1 species
UACGAAGGGGGCUAGCGUUGCUCGGAAUCACUGGGCGUAAAGCGCACGUAGGCGGAUCUUUAAGUCAGGGGUGAAAUCCCGGAGCUCAACUCCGGAACUGCCUUUGAUACUGAGGAUCUCGAGUCCGGGAGAGGUGAGUGGAACUGCGAGUGUAGAGGUGAAAUUCGUAGAUAUUCGCAAGAACACCAGUGGCGAAGGCGGCUCACUGGCCCGGUACUGACGCUGAGGUGCGAAAGCGUGGGGAGCAAACAGGAUUAGAUACCCCCGUAGUCC